GUGCCAGCAGCCGCGGUUAUACAAAUAAUACAAAUAAAUUUUUUUAGUAAUAGUUAAAUUGUAAUAAUUAAAUUAAAAAUAAAUUUAUUAGGUGAAAUUUUAAAUUUAUAAAAAUUUUAAUAAAGUUAAUUGAAGCUAAGAAAUUUUAUUUAUAAACUAGGAUUAGAUACCCUAUUAUUUAAAAUGUAAUUUAAUUACUAAAGUAGUAAUAGUUAUGUUCUUGAAACUUAAAAAAUUUGGCGGUAUUUUAGUCUAUUCAGAGGAACCUGUUCUGUAAUCGAUAAUCCACGUUGGACCUUACUUAAGUUUGUUUUUCAGUCUAUAUACCGUCGUUAGCAGAAUAUUUUAAAAGAAAAAUAAUUUUCAAAAAUUUAAAAUUGAAUAUAUAUCAGAUCAAGGUGUAGCUAAUAUUUAAGUAGAAAUGGGUUACAAUAAAUUUAUUUUUGGAUUUAGAUAUGAAAAAUCUAUUGAAAUUGGAUUUGAUAGUAAAAUUAUAUAGAUUAAUAAUUUGAUUAUAGCUCUAAAAUAUGUACACAUCGCCCGUCGCUCUUAUUAAUAAGAUAAGAUAAAGCGUACCAAGGUAGA
rnacentral:rRNA from 1 species